UACGUAGGAGACGAGCGUUGUCCGGAGUUACUGGGCGUAAAGGGUGCGCAGGCGGCCUCGCGCGUCGCGAGUGAAAUCUCCCGGCUCAACUGGGAGGGUGGUCGCGAGACGGCGGGGCUUGAGGCUCGGUGAGGGGCGUGGAAUUCCGGGUGGAGCGGUGAAAUGCGCAGAUAUCAGGAAGAACACCCGUGGCUAAGGCGGCUCUCUAGUACGGUACUGACGCUGAGACGCGAAAGCGUGGGGAGCGAACAGG
rnacentral:rRNA from 1 species